rnacentral:ncRNA from 1 species
GAGUUUGAUCCUGGCUCAGGAUGAACAAUGGUGGCAUGCUUAACACAUGCAAGUUAGACAGGAAGUGGUGUUUCUAGUGGGAGAUAGGUGAGUAACACAUAAGAACCCACCUUUUGGAGGGGAACAAUAGUUGGAAAUGAAUGCUAAUACCCCAUAGACCAAGGAGAAAAAGGAGGAAUCCGCCCAAGGAAGGGUUCACGUCUGAUUAUUUAGUUGGUGAGGCAAUGGAUUACCAAGGAAAUGAUUAAUAGUUGGUUCGAGAGGAUGAUCAGACUCACUGGGACUGAGACACAACCCAUAAUCCUACAAGAGGAAGCAAUGGGGAAUUUUAUGCAAUGGGUGAAAUCAUGACGAAGCAAUGCCAUGUGAAGGAAGAAGGCCCCUUGGGUGAUGAACUUAUUUUCUCAGAGAAGAAGCAAUGAUGAUAUUUGCGGAAUAAGCAUUGUCUAACUCUGUGACAACAACCACGAUAAGACCCAUUUUAUUAUAU